rnacentral:rRNA from 1 species
UACAGAGGUCCCAAGCGUUGUUCGGAUUCACUGGGCGUAAAGGGUGCGUAGGUGGCCAGGUAAGUUCGGUGUGAAAGCUCGGAGCUUAACUCCGAAAUGGCAUUGAAUACUAUCUGGCUAGAGGUUCGGAGGGGAGACUGGAAUUCCCGGUGUAGAGGUGAAAUUCGUAGAUAUCGGGAGGAACACCGGUGGCGAAGGCGGCGAUCUGGGUCGAUACUGACGCUGAGGUGCGAAAGCGUGGGGAGCAAACAGG